UCCUGAAAUGCAGGUUCUCCUAGCCACC
rnacentral:piRNA from 1 species